UUGCUCCUGCUGUUGUUGAUGCUCCUCCGCCCGGAGCUCCCCUGACCUGUCCAGGACCACCUCUAAAGAACUGAUAGUCUUGACCUCUCGCCGAUGCUCCUCCCGCUAUUGUGCUGCUGCUGAUCAUCUCUGAAGAAGGUACAGUGUAAACUACUGUAAAGUUGACAGUUCUUGGUAUAAAUAAUUGUAUCAAGAGGCUAGAAAAAUUGUAAACUUCUCUGAAUUUGUGCAAAUCUAUAUUCACUGUACGCUAUGGAAAUUUUUUGGCAAUAGAUCUAUAAAAAUGCAGUUAAAAACUGUCAAAAUUCAUUUGUGGAGAUGUUGUGUGUCAAAAUUCAGAGACUGACAUUCCAGAAUUUGAGUCUCGAUCUUGAGCUUCGGCCUUGAUGAAAACAAUUCAGAAUUUGAUUACAACUUAAAUUGCUCCUGGAUGCAGGGGUGGAGGGCGCGUCCUCCAUGGCAGAUCAAGGGUGGAGCAGCGUCGCACUACUUUCUUCUUGCAUUUGUCGCUUUUGGAGAAUUCAGACUUCAAGUGUUGUCUAGAUGGUGGUUCAUGCUGCAGCUACAAGGAAUUGAUCACUAACGAGAUCUUUUUUUUUCUUCUUCUUUUUUAUUUUGGUUGUGUGCAUCCGUAAUAUUUUUAGGACAUUGUUUUGUUGUAAAGCCCGGAUGUAGUAAUUGAUAUCUUUGUAAUAUUAAUAUAUUCCUUUUGUCCAAUUUGUUUUUUGUAUUCACUAGAGUAAAUUCCAAUUGACUAUUUUGAUCAUUCUCAUUGUUGUAUGGUUUCCGACGAGGCCACACAGGGAAAUACUCGCGUGAACCACAUUUCCUGUUUAUGUGGGUUGCGUAUACACGUGUUUUAUUUAUUUCCCUCCUCUUAUUUUGGAACGUUAAUCACUAAAUAAAUAAGCCAUAUUAUGUGAGUUGUAUUGGCUUUUAUUUG
rnacentral:lncRNA from 1 species